GGGACGUCCUGGACCAAGUAACUGCUGCAGCGGGGGAUUUCUUCAGUAGGGGCUUGAGCACUGCAACCUCUCUCUAGGUUAGGACCUCGUCGCUUGGAAAGCGUACUGCCUCGCGGUUAGGACUCGUCAAGUAAAUCUCCAGGUAGAGGACGAGGCAAGGGCAAGGGCAAGCUGGCGAGCGACCCGAAGUGACCGUGGAGGGCCAUAGGGACUACUGCUUCCGCUUAUCCUUAUUUUAGACUUUCGUAUUUGAGUUUGAGUACUUUUCAUUACUUAGCAUCUUUUUAUGUA